AUUGAACGCUGGCGGCAGGCCUAACACAUGCAAGUCGAGCGGAUGAAGGGAGCUUGCUCCUGGAUUCAGCGGCGGACGGGUGAGUAAUGCCUAGGAAUCUGCCUGGUAGUGGGGGAUAACGUCCGGAAACGGGCGCUAAUACCGCAUACGUCCUGAGGGAGAAAGUGGGGGAUCUUCGGACCUCACGCUAUCAGAUGAGCCUAGGUCGGAUUAGCUAGUUGGUGGGGUAAAGGCCUACCAAGGCGACGAUCCGUAACUGGUCUGAGAGGAUGAUCAGUCACACUGGAACUGAGACACGGUCCAGACUCCUACGAGAGGGCGCAGUGGGCAAUAUUGGACAAUGGGCGAAAGCCUGAUCCAGCCAUGCCGCGUGUGUUAAGAAGGUCUUCGGAUUGUAAAGCACUUUAAGUUGGGAGGAAGGGCAGUAAGUUAAUACCUUGCUGUUUUGACGUUACCAACAGAAUAAGCACCGGCUAACUUCGUG
rnacentral:rRNA from 1 species